rnacentral:lncRNA from 1 species
UGUUGUGAUUACAGGCAUGAGCCACCGCACCUGGCCAAGAUGCUUUUUCUGUUUCUGAGAUACAAUGAACUAUAUCUUAAGAAUUCAUAAAGCCCUAAAAAGUAAAUAUUUACAACCAGAAAUCUUUCUGACAAAGAAACAAGAUUACUCAAACACAACUGAAAGGAUGAAGAAGGAAAACAAUUUAAUGUACCCUGGUCAUGCAGUUACUUUCCUUUAUCCUUACUAACAGUGCUUGUCAAGAUGGUUCUGGAAACUGAAUAAAUUGUUAUUAACUAAAUUCUAAAAGCUUCAUAUAAUCAUCUGAUACAUACAUCACAUCAAUUUCAGCCUAGGCUCUCUAUGGUGGCAAAUUAUUUCAGCACUAAAUCAUGAAGGCUGGAUUCUUGAAGCCUGGCAGAGGCAAAUGUCUCAUUAAUGCUGAUCUGAGAGACAUCUGUGAUGAGCCUGAACAUCAGGCCAAUCUGCAGAGCUGAUCAGGGGCUGCUGAGUGGUUCUGAAGUGAGUCAGGCUGUGAAUGAAGACUCCACCAGAAUGAGGAGAAUUCCAUGCAUGGAGAUUCAAAUAAAGACAAAAGGGAGAUGCAACUAUGGAGGCUGAGAAGUCCCACCAUCGGAGCGCCUCUGCCCCGCCGCCCCAUCUGGGAUGUGAGGAGCGCCUCUGCCCGGCCGAGACCCCGUCUGGGAGGUGAGGAGCGUCUCUGCCCGGCCGCCCCGUCUGAGAAGUGAGGAGACCCUCUGCCUGGCAACCACCCCGUCUGAGAAGUGAGGAGCCCCUCCGCCCGGCAGCUGCCCCGUCUGAGAAGUGAGGAGCCUCUCCGCCCGGCAGCCACCCCAUCUGGGAAGUGAGGAGCGUCUCCGCCCGGCAGCCACCCCGUCCGGGAGGGAGGUGGGGGGGGGUCAGCCCCCC